UUUCUUUAGUAUAAAUACACACUGUGCAGCUUGUGGGUUGGUUGCUGGCUUUGGCACGAAGGAUGGGUAUCAUGGAUUGUAAACUCCUUUUAGGAGUUGUAUUGUGUAUGCUGUUACCUUUGGAUGCGAAGGCGCAAGCGCCACCAGGGACCUUUGUUAAUGAGUGUCGGGACCGAUACUUCUGGACGACGA